AUUGAACGCUGGCGGCAUGCCUUACACAUGCAAGUCGAACGGCAGCACGGGAGCAAUCCUGGUGGCGAGUGGCGAACGGGUGAGUAAUAUAUCGGAACGUGCCCAGUCGUGGGGGAUAACGUAGCGAAAGCUACGCUAAUACCGCAUACGAUCUAUGGAUGAAAGCGGGGGAUCGCAAGACCUCGCGCGAUUGGAGCGGCCGAUAUCAGAUUAGGUAGUUGGUGAGGUAAAGGCUCACCAAGCCGACGAUCUGUAGCUGGUCUGAGAGGACGACCAGCCACGCUGGGACUGAGACACGGCCCAGACUCCUACGGGAGGCAGCAGUGGGGAAUUUUGGACAAUGGGCGCAAGCCUGAUCCAGCAAUGCCGCGUGCAGGAUGAAGGCCUUCGGGUUGUAAACUGCUUUUGUACGGAACGAAACGGUGAGCUCUAAUACAGUUUGCUAAUGACGGUACCGUAAGAAUAAGCACCGGCUAACUACGUG
rnacentral:rRNA from 1 species